CGGCGACGCACCACGACAGGGAGCGCCCGCUCACCGGACAUCUCACCGGAUAGCUCACCGGACAGCUCACUGGACAGCGGCAGGCAUGCGGUCCACGCCGCAGCUGGUCACCCUGCUGACAAUCUGCUGCUCGUCCGCCCUGUCGGCGCUGGUGCCGCACGUGACAAAUCAGGAAGAGAAGGUGGUUCUGGAGGACGACGAUUCCAUCCUGUCGCCGCUGAAGCCGUUUCACGUCAUUCAUGAGUGCAUAAACACAACGUCAGUCGAUGG